rnacentral:rRNA from 1 species
GAUGAACGCUGGCGGCGUGCCUAAUACAUGCAAGUCGAGCGAAAAGAUAAGGAGCUUGCUCCUUUGACGUUAGCGGCGGACGGGUGAGUAACAUGUGGAUAACCUACCUAUAAGACUGGAACAACUCCGGGAAACCGGUGCUAACGCCGGCUAACAUUUAGAACCGCAUGGUGCUAAAGUGAAAGAUGGUUUUGCUAUCACUUAUAGAUGGACCCGCGCCGUAUUAGCUAGUUGGUAAGGUAACGGCUUACCAAGGCAACGAUCCGUAGCCGACCUGAGAGGGCGAUCAGCCACACUGGGACUGAGACACGGUCCAGACUCCUACGGGAGGCAGCAGUGGGGAAUCUUCCGCAAUGGGCGAAAGCCUGACGGAGCAACGCCGCGUGAGUGAUGAAGGUCUUCGGGUCGUAAAACUCUGUUAUUAGGAAAGAACAAAUGUGUACUUAACUGUGCACGCCUUGACGGUACCUGAUCAGAAAGCAACGGCUAACUACGUG